rnacentral:rRNA from 1 species
UGGGAAUUUUGCCAAUGGACGAAACCCUGACGGAGCGACGCCGCGUGAAGGAUGACGGCCUGCGGGUUGUAAACCUCUUUUCUCGAAGAAGAAGCUCUGACGGCCUUCGAGGAAUAAGCCUCGGCUAACUCCGCGCCAGCCCCCGCGGUAAUA